GGCGUAGCUCAGUUGGUAGAGCCCCGGAUUGUGAUUCCGGUGGUCGUGGGUUCGAACCCCAUCGUC
rnacentral:tRNA from 1 species